AUAUUUUUAAAUAAAAUGGAACAGUUUGCUCCACUAGAACUCUUUAUAAUUUCAGCAAAGCUACGUUCGCAUGGCCAUUCACUUCAUUUUUGGGGGACACACAACCCAAAAACGCUUCAAGUUAAUCAAGGCUCAAUAUUUAUCCAAGUUGCUUAAAAAGCGAUUCAAAAAUGCUUGUUGAAGACUAAAUUUGUGGAAGCUGUCAACUGUAGCAAAUGAAUUUCACGCCUUGAAAUGCGACAAAAGUUCAACAGUCUGAUGAAGUUAUUGCAAUGUUGUAGUUUCAGUUUUAGUUGCAGUUCAGGUGAUGGGAUCUUUGUGGCUUGUAUGCGGGUUCUUGGCAUUGCUUCCUCUUAAAGCAAUAACUGAUGAGGAUGCAGACGCAGUGAUCGAGAAAUGUGAAAUGCGAGUCAUGGUAUUUGAGGGAUAUCAACGCACAAUGUGUGCUCCACUUCAAGAGGUGUGGGUACUGUCAAAGGGUGUAUGCCGCAAAGGAUUCACAUGUGCCAAGGGCUAUAGUGAACGGGAAUGUAAAGAAAAGUGCCUGAAGAAACGAAGCAGCAAUGACUAAAACUGGUCUCAGCCUGAGUUCGGAGCGAACCCGAACAACUGGAACCGGAACUAAGCCGUUUCCAUUACUUUUUAUAUAUGUAAUUGUAUUCUCAUAUUAAACUGGAUCUAAUUAA